rnacentral:rRNA from 1 species
UUGACCUCGGAUCAGGUAGGGAUACCCGCUGAACUUAAGCAUAUCAAUAAGCGGAGGAAAAGAAACCAACAGGGAUUACCUCAGUAACGGCGAGUGAAGCGGUAAGAGCUCAAAUUUGAAAGCUGGCUCCUUCGGGGUCCGCAUUGUAAUUUGCAGAGG